rnacentral:rRNA from 1 species
UACGAAGGGGGCGAGCGUUGUUCGGAUUUACUGGGCGUAAAGGGCGCGCAGGCGGCUAUCCAAGUCAGGCGUGAAAGCCCCGGGCUUAACCUGGGAACUGCAUCUGUGACUGCAUCGCUGGAGUACGGUAGAGGGGGAUGGAAUUCCGCGUGUAGCAGUGAAAUGCGUAGAUAUGCGGAGGAACACCGAUGGCGAAGGCAAUCCCCUGGACCUGUACUGACGCUCAUGCACGAAAGCGUGGGGAGCAAACAGG